GACGAACGCUGGCGGCGUGCUUAACACAUGCAAGUCGAACGGAAAGGCCUCUUUCGGGGGGUACUCGAGUGGCGAACGGGUGAGUAACACGUGAGUAACCUGCCCUUGACUUUGGGAUAACUUCAGGAAACUGGGGCUAAUACCGGAUAGGAGCUCCUGCUGCAUGGUGGGUGUUGGAAAGUUUCGGCGGUUGGGGAUGGACUCGCGGCUUAUCAGCUUGUUGGUGGGGUAGUGGCUUACCAAGGCUUUGACGGGUAGCCGGCCUGAGAGGGUGACCGGCCACAUUGGGACUGAGAUACGGCCCAGACUCCUACGGGGGGCAGCAGUGGGGAAUAUUGCACAAUGGGUGGAAGCCUGAUGCAGCAACGCCGUGUGCGGGAUGACGGCCUUCGGGUUGUAAACCGCUUUCGCUCAUGACGAAGCUUUGUGUGACGGUAGUGGGUAAAGAAGCACCGGCUAACUACGUG
rnacentral:rRNA from 1 species